rnacentral:rRNA from 1 species
AUGUUUUGCCAGGUUCUAAAGGAUGCUAGGUUUCCUGAGGGCUAUGCAUCCAACUUGCACAACAAAGUGGAUAUAGUGAGAACGAGAUUAAAUGGACUAAAGAGCCAUGACUGUCAUAUUAUAAUGCGUGAUCUGUUGCCCUUAGCCAUUAGGAGAACUUUGCCUAAAGAUGUUUGUAUUCCAUUGAUGCGUUUGUGCAACUACUUCAAGCAAUUAUACUCUAAGGUUAUCACUGUGAGUGAGAUACAAAAGUUGGAGGAUGAGAUUACUGAAAUCAUGUGCCAAUUGGAGAAAGUAUUUCCUCAUGCCUUUUUGACAUCAUGGAACACUUGA